AUGGUUGCAAUCUUUUUGUAGUGAAGCUGCUGACAUCAAAACAGGCUGGAAAGUAAAGAGUGGACAUGCCUUGAGCCACCCCUUUUUCAGCAAACUAAUGGAUUCAACUGUGGAGUACGUUUUUGUAAGGUAACCUCUAGAGUACUAAAAAGCAUUAGAUAAGUGAGCUCAUCAGUACCAAUACCAUCAACAUCUUUAAAAUUAAACAGUUAAAAUAAAAUGAUGUCAUUCCAUAGCAGUUUUUAAAGAAACAUAAUCAGAAUAUUUACAUUUUUACAUCAACCAAUCUUACAUCAUAUAUAAUAUAACUGCAAGAUCUAUCUUUAGUUUGCCAGGAACUUGUGUGAUAACAGGCUGAUCACAAAGGUCAAUGUUUCUAUUGAGAGAAUGAAGUUUCUAUCCAACUUGUUGGGGAGCUGUUAUGAUGACAUUUUGAGUGGAAGGGAUGUUCUUGUUUGCAAGGUGUGUCAGAUGGAUGACAAUGAAGACUGGCCUGGCUGCAAAAGAUGUGGACAGUUUUUCCAUGCUAGUUGUGUAGGAGUGAACUUUGUCACGGCAUUGCAAGAUCCUUUCUUUUAUUGUCCAUGAUCACACACUUAAAAACACACAAAUAGCAACAUAUUUAGGAGUCCUCUUCUCAUUUUUUAAAGUAUGUGAUGGAGUUGUGGCUCAGCUUGUUCAAAUUUACAUUCGAGGAAAAAAUAAUUGUUAGAAAGUGUAUUUUCUAAAAUAAGCUAUAUAAUUUAAAGCAUAUUUUUCCAAAGAAUAUGUGGUAAAAGGGCCUAAGAGGUGCACUGUUAACAGACAAAUCAUUUAAGUCAGUCAAAAUUUUACCGACUGAAUGUGACCAGUAGUACUUCUUUGUUACAGUCACAGCAAAUGUUCCUUGAUUUAGGCACUCGUUUGCUGAGAAACUCAUGAAAUAGAUAGGUCAUGUUCAUUAAACAUCUUUUUGGACAAGAA